AAAUGUAUUUUAUGCUGGAAUUCAGCACAGAGAAGAACAGAGCUGUGAGCAGUCCAACAGGUUGGAGCUGGCUCUACUGAGAGAUUAAUGCAAAUAAAUGCACUAGUUCUCCCUGGUCAAACUUUUUACAGUUCAUCUGUUUGCACUGAAUACAAUGGCUAAAAAAAUAGACAGCUUUCUGGAUUCCUCUUCCUUCUUUCUUGUGAAAUGGAAGACAAUCACAAGACAACCUCUAAUGGAGUCUCUGCUGAAUCCUGCCAUCAAGAGGACACUGAUUUCUGACUUCCAAAGCUCCCUCUUGGAGACUUUCUUGCAUUAAAUAAUAUUUGGAGGAAAACUAGCUUUUGAAUGUCACAGUGUUGCUUAUUAGUGGUUGGUAGGUGUCAAUGUGCUAAUAGACACCUAGACUUCAAAAAAAAAAAAUCAAUAAAUCUCAGCAGCAAAGAGAAAGUUUUGCUGUUUGCAUUAUUCUGGCUGCAGCACAGUGGAUCUGAGGAACCCAGGGGUGGGAGAGAGAAAUGGUGCUUUCAAUAAGGAAUACUGGUGGGAGAAAAGGGAGGGACAGGAAUAGUGUCUGCAAAGAAAAUAUAACAAGAAGAGAGCUUUUAGCUCAGCCAGGAUCACAGAGAACAUGGAGAGGAUGCAAAGGCAGACCACAGAACUGAUGAAAGCAAGAAUUCUUUCAGUUCUUCUAAGUGAACUGUAAAAGAUGUGUUGGAACCAGAAAGCCAUUGAAAAGUCAUUUCAUUGACAUCCCAGAGGAGAAGACCCAUCUUGAACAGGUGUGCUGCAAAGCAGAUUACACCAACACAGGAAAAGAGUUUUAGUAAUUUAUAUACAUUAUCCUACAACCAGAUUAUAAGCAUUUGAAUGUGCUGUCCACAAAGCAAACCCAUCAAAUAUUUAAAGGAAGAUGCCAGCAAGAAAUGUGAUUUAUAGAGGACCUUGAGUGUGAAUAAGUUUCCUGGUCAUUUCAAAGAUGUUGAUACAAAGGCUGUUUUCCAGUUGUGGCUUGUCCUGUUACACUCAAUUUUAACAACCUGACAUGUACCCAAGACCCCUCUUGUCUUCAGGCACACCAGAAAGAAGGACUUUCCUCAACCUGAAUUCCUCAAUCAUGCAGAUUGAUGUUUUACUUGCACACCAGGUGUCACUACUGAUUUGCAUGUGCUCCCCUGAGAUGCAGGUGGUGCUCAUGGUGCUGCUCCUGGGUCCUCCCCUACCCUGGAACAACUGGAGUGCUUAGGGGCACCCAGCUCGUGUGUUGUCACAGAUAUUAAUGAACACACCUUGACUUCCUGCUGAUUUCUUCAUUUCUGCAUAUUCAGUUUCACAAACAC